GAAAAUCCAAUUGAAGUCUCUCUUGGUUGUACUGCCUCAAUAUAGCUAGUGACUUCACCUUCUCAUGCCUGCUUUGUCUUGUGGGCAGACAAAAAAAACGAACAGCAGAACAAAAGCCAUGUCCUUUUUCUGGUGCCAUCUGAAUAGAGAUUGUUCUUCUUGUGCAUGCUUCUUGCUUAGGAAAUCACUCCUUGUUUGGACAUCACUUAGUGUUACAGUGUAUCUUCUCUGCGCAUUGCAUUCAUCCGACACAGUGAAUUCAAAGGUCUGCAUUUCUUCUGAAUCAACUUUCCAGAUAAGAAGGCCAGCGGGAGAGAGCCUGGCAUCCUGUGGCCCAGCCUCUAAGAUGAAUAGCACAGCUGACCCUUCCGGAUCCACCGCUGUUAACUGGCAAGAAGAACAUGAUUGUGAAACUGAUCUAUGCUGGGAGAGGAAGGAAGAGUGCUCUAUCUGGAUAUGUAGCCUUAGUAUUUUGAUCCACAAUUGAAUGUUAAUAGUGAAUUUUGAAAAGCACGUUAAAUGGAUGGAAACAUCUCAUUACAAUGAUUUCUAAGUAUCUCAUUUUUUUAAAUCACUCCUGGCUGAGAAUAAUUGAUUCAGCCAAGUAGCAUCCAUUGCUUUUCUUUCC